GACGAACGCUGGCGGCGUGCUUAACACAUGCAAGUCGAACGGAAAGGCCCUGCUUUUGUGGGGUGCUCGAGUGGCGAACGGGUGAGUAACACGUGAGUAACCUGCCCUUGACUUUGGGAUAACUUCAGGAAACUGGGGCUAAUACCGGAUAGGAGCUCCUGCCGCAUGGUGGGGGUUGGAAAGUUUCGGCGGUUGGGGAUGGACUCGCGGCUUAUCAGCUUGUUGGUGGGGUAGUGGCUUACCAAGGCUUUGACGGGUAGCCGGCCUGAGAGGGUGACCGGCCACAUUGGGACUGAGAUACGGCCCAGACUCCUACGGGAGGCAGCAGUGGGGAAUAUUGCACAAUGGGCGGAAGCCUGAUGCAGCAACGCCGCGUGCGGGAUGACGGCCUUCGGGUUGUAAACCGCUUUCGCCUGUGACGAAGCGUGAGUGACGGUAAUGGGUAAAGAAGCACCGGCUAACUACGUGCCAGCAGCCGCGGUGAUACGUAGGGUGCGAGCGUUGUCCGGAUUUAUUGGGCGUAAAGGGCUCGUAGGUGGUUGAUCGCGUCGGAAGUGUAAUCUUGGGGCUUAACCCUGAGCGUGCUUUCGAUACGGGUUGACUUGAGGAAGGUAGGGGAGAAUGGAAUUCCUGGUGGAGCGGUGGAAUGCGCAGAUAUCAGGAGGAACACCAGUGGCGAAGGCGGUUCUCUGGGCCUUUCCUGACGCUGAGGAGCGAAAGCGUGGGGAGCGAACAGGCUUAGAUACCCUGGUAGUCCACGCUGUAAACGGUGGGUACUAGGUGUGGGGUCCAUUCCACGGGUUCCGUGCCGUAGCUAACGCUUUAAGUACCCCGCCUGGGGAGUACGGCCGCAAGGCUAAAACUCAAAGGAAUUGACGGGGCCCCGCACAAGCGGCGGAGCAUGCGGAUUAAUUCGAUGCAACGCGUAGAACCUUACCUGGGUUUGACAUGGAUCGGGAGUGCUCAGAGAUGGGUGUGCCUCUUUUGGGGUCGGUUCACAGGUGGUGCAUGGCUGUCGUCAGCUCGUGUCGUGAGAUGUUGGGUUAAGUCCCGCAACGAGCGCAACCCUUGUUCACUGUUGCCAGCACGUUAUGGUGGGGACUCAGUGGAGACCGCCGGGGUCAUCUCGGAGGAAGGUGGGGAUGACGUCAAGUCAUCAUGCCCCUUAUGUCCAGGGCUUCACGCAUGCUACAAUGGCUGGUACAGAGAGUGGCGAGCCUGUGAGGGUGAGCGAAUCUCGGAAAGCCGGUCUCAGUUCGGAUUGGGGUCUGCAACUCGACCUCAUGAAGUCGGAGUCGCUAGUAAUCGCAGAUCAGCAACGCUGCGGUGAAUACGUUCCCGGGGCU
rnacentral:rRNA from 1 species